rnacentral:rRNA from 1 species
CCUACGGGUGGCAGCAGUGGGGAAUAUUGGGCAAUGGGCGCAAGCCUGAUCCAGCAACGCCGCGUGAAGGAAGAAGGCUUUCGGGUUGUAAACUUCUUUUCUGAGGGACCAAGAAAGUGACGGUACCUCAGGAAUAAGCCACGGCUAACUACGUGCCAGCAGCCGCGGUAAUACGUAGGGGGCGAGCGUUAUCCGGAAUUACUGGGUGUAAAGGGAGUGUAGACGGCGAGGUAAGCCUGAAGGGGAAGCCCUGGGCCCAACCGCGGGACUGCUUUGGGAACUGUUUUGCUGGAGUAUGGGAGGGGUAAGCGGAAUUCCUGGUGUAGCGGUGAAAUGCGUAGAUAUCAGGAAGAACACCGGUGGCGAAGGCGGCUUACUGGACCAUAACUGACGUUGAGGCUCGAAAGCGUGGGGAGCGAACAGGAUUAGAUACCCCGGUAGUC